rnacentral:rRNA from 1 species
CGGGGAAUCUUAGACAAUGGGCGAAAGCCUGAUCUAGCCAUGCCGCGUGAGUGAUGAAGGCCCUAGGGUCGUAAAGCUCUUUCGCUGGGGAUGAUAAUGACAGUACCCAGUAAAGAAACCCCGGCUAACUCCGUGCCAGCAGCCGCGGUAAUACGGAGGGGUUAGCGUUGUUCGGAAUUACUGGGCGUAAAGCGCGCGUAGGCGGAUCAGAAAGUUAGGGGUGAAAUCCCGGGGCUCAACCCCGGAACUGCCUCUAAAACUCCUGGUCUAGAGUUCGAGAGAGGUGAGUGGAAUUCCGAGUGUAGAGGUGAAAUUCGUAGAUAUUCGGAGGAACACCAGUGGCGAAGGCG